GAUGAACGCUGGCGGCGUGCCUAAUACAUGGAAGUCGAGCGAACAGACGAGGAGCUUGCUCCUCUGACGUUAGCGGCGGACGGGUGAGUAACACGUGGAUAACCUACCUAUAAGACUGGGAUAACUUCGGGAAACCGGAGCUAAUACCGGAUAAUAUAUUGAACCGCAUGGUUCAAUAGUGAAAGACGGUUUUGCUGUCACUUAUAGAUGGAUCCGCGCCGCAUUAGCUAGUUGGUAAGGUAACGGCUUACCAAGGCAACGAUGCGUAGCCGACCUGAGAGGGUGAUCGGCCACACUGGAACUGAGACACGGUCCAGACUCCUACGGGAGGCAGCAGUAGGGAAUCUUCCGCAAUGGGCGAAAGCCUGACGGAGCAACGCCGCGUGAGUGAUGAAGGUCUUCGGAUCGUAAAACUCUGUUAUUAGGGAAGAACAAAUGUGUAAGUAACUAUGCACGUCUUGACGGUACCUAAUCAGAAAGCCACGGCUAACUACGUG
rnacentral:rRNA from 1 species